rnacentral:rRNA from 1 species
AUUGAACGCUGGCGGCAUGCCUUACACAUGCAAGUCGAACGGUAACGCGGGGCAACCUGGCGACGAGUGGCGAACGGGUGAGUAAUGUAUCGGAACGUGCCCAGUUGUGGGGGAUAACUGCUCGAAAGAGCAGCUAAUACCGCAUACGACCUGAGGGUGAAAGCGGGGGAUCGCAAGACCUCGCGCAAUUGGAGCGGCCGAUAUCAGAUUAGGUAGUUGGUGGGGUAAAGGCCUACCAAGCCUACGAUCUGUAGCUGGUCUGAGAGGACGACCAGCCACACUGGGACUGAGACACGGCCCAGACUCCUACGGGAGGCAGCAGUGGGGAAUUUUGGACAAUGGGGGAAACCCUGAUCCAGCCAUGCCGCGUGCGGGAAGAAGGCCUUCGGGUUGUAAACCGCUUUUGUCAGGGAAGAAAUCCUUUGAACUAAUACUUCGGAGGGAUGACGGUACCUGAAGAAUAAGCACCGGCUAACUACGUGCCAGCCGCCGCCGUAA